GUUCACUUAGCUCAAUGGUUAGAGCGCUUGGGUUCUAUCCGCUUCGAUGCCCGCACGUCUACUCAAGUGAUGCGGGUUCGAAUCUCGCAGUGGACA